rnacentral:lncRNA from 1 species
AUUGGUCAGAGAGCAGGAAGAAUUGAGUAAGCUGGCAGAAAACAGCAAGUGAGUUAGAAAAUUUUCUUCCAUCCACCCCCACAGCUGCAUAUGAGGGAAAGCAGCAAGAAUAGCAAGGGAGAGGAAGAGCCUAAUAUCCUUCUGCCUUCCCAGCCACCAGACAGCAACUGAAGAAAGGCUGGAGGUUGCUGUGUGCAACCCAUUGCCGUGUCCCCUGGGCACGGCACGCGCUCAUCCUGCUAGGAGAAGGUCCUACAGGAGUUUGUUCCUGCCACCAUGAGAUACAGUCCAGUCUCGUCAUAUGUAAACCUCCAGGGAAUGGGAGUUUUCUGUGGAAAAGCAAGAACUAUGUUUGAGACAAACUCUGUAAAAGUAUAAUACCCAAAAGCUUACGAAAGAGGAAGGAAUUCUGCUUGGGUUACCUGAACUGCACUGAAGCCUGGGAAGCAGCACCGCUCCCCGUGGUGGGAAAUGCUGGAAUACCCUUUGGAUGCACCUGUGAGAGCAAGCACUCUGACGAGUUUGAAGUUUCCCAGGCACCAGAGGAAGCUGCUAAGAGCGUUGUCUUCUCCAGGCAGCAGACAGCGCACUCCAAACUUCAUCAAUGGUUUUCUCCAUGUAACAGCACGCUUUGUGAAGUGAAGAAAAAAGACGGAGAGAUCCACAACAGCCGCUAGUGAAAGCCGUCUAGUCAUCAGUGCGUUUGUAGCUGGUACCUUGUUACCUGGCUGACAGCUCAAGAGAGAGAGUGGCUUUUCUGAUGUGGCAAUGGUAAAUCUUCACAGAACCCCUUUCUUCUGACACUGAACAGGGAAUUCCACUGAAACCAGGAUUUUAACAUGUUUCCUAAAACUGCUGUCUCUGUACCCUUCCGACGGCACAGCUUCUGCUUAUAUCGCUUCACAAACUCCUACGGAGAAGCUUUCUGCUCCUAUUGAAGGGAACACGUAAACUCCGUUCUUGCAGAGUACCUACGGAUCCGGUGACCUGCCGCCGCCUUCUCCUCCUGUAUCGCAAACUCUAUGGAACUGAAUUACUGAAAACAGAAACUUUGUUUGCUAGAAGACACUUCUAAUUGGAGAAGUGUUUCUGUGCUUUAAAGUAAGCAAGUCUGGUAAAGGCGUGUUAUAAAAUCAAAUUAACUGUGGUAAAUUACAAAGAAAUCACCCUUAGAAUAUAUCACUGCAUCUUUCCCAUCUCCCAAGGUUUUUUGUCCUCCUCCUUCUUUACACGUCAGAUCAGAAACCGGGAGCUCAUCUGGUGUUGACAAAUGCAGGGUAUGUUAGGCUUUGACUUUAUAGGAGAAAAAUGGGUCACCAGCAUGUUAUUGGCAGCUCAAGUUUGGUGUCAUUUAGCCAGCUGAAGAGAAAAAAAUAGGCCAUUGAUUAGUCCAGCAACAGCCUAGGGCCUCUGUAUUUUAAUUACAUAUGUUCUCUGGACUUAAUUCAUCCCUGGUGAAUCAUCAUUGACUUAAAUGGAGCUUCAUAAUGGAGGAAUUUCCCCAAUACAUUUUGUUCUUUGUAUUAUUAAUACAUCUAAGUGUUGUGAAUAACUCUGUUUCCCAAAACAAACAUUCAGGCUUCUGUAAAAGCUGGUGCUUGGAGACUUUAAAGAACCCCGAAGACCAAAAGGUUUUGCAUCC